ensembl:lncRNA
GAGAGUGUGUGAGAGGGUGUGUGAGAGAGUGUGUGAGAGGGUGUGUGAGAGGGUGUGUGAGAGGGUGUGUGAGAGGGUGUGUGAGAGGGUGUGUGAGAGGGUGUCUGAGAGAGUGUGUGAGAGGGUGUGUGAGAGAGUGUGUGAGAGGGUGUGUGAGAGAGUGUGUGAGAGGGUGUGUGAGAGGGUGUGUGUGAGAGGGUGUGUGAGAGAGUGUGUGAGAGGGUGUGUGAGAGGGUGUCUGAGAGAGUGUGUGAGAGGGUGUGUGAGAGAGUGUGUGAGAGGGUGUGUGAGAGGGUGUGUGAGAGGGUGUGUGAGAGGGUGUGUGAGAGGGUGUGAGAGGGUGUGUGAGAGAGUGUGUGAGAGGGUGUCUGAGAGGGUGUGAGAGGGUGUGUGAGAGAGAGGGUGUG